UACAGAGGGUGCGAGCGUUAAUCGGAAUGACUGGGCGUAAAGGGUGCGUAGGUGGUGCUCUAAGUCUACUGUGAAAGCCCCGGGCUUAACCUGGGAACGGCAGUGGAUACUGGAGGACUAGAGUAGGUGAGAGGAGAGUGGAAUUUCCGGUGUAGCGGUGAAAUGCGUAGAGAUCGGAAAGAACACCAGUGGCGAAGGCGGCUCUCUGGUACCAUACUGACACUGAGGCACGAAAGCGUGGGGAUCAAACAGG
rnacentral:rRNA from 1 species